GACGAACGCUGGCGGCGUGCUUAACACAUGCAAGUCGAACGGAAAGGCCCUGCUUUUGUGGGGUGCUCGAGUGGCGAACGGGUGAGUAACACGUGAGUAACCUGCCCUUGACUUUGGGAUAACUUCAGGAAACUGGGGCUAAUACCGGAUAGGAGCUCCUGCUGCAUGGUGGGGGUUGGAAAGUUUCGGCGGUUGGGGAUGGACUCGCGGCUUAUCAGCUUGUUGGUGGGGUAGUGGCUUACCAAGGCUUUGACGGGUAGCCGGCCUGAGAGGGUGACCGGCCACAUUGGGACUGAGAGACGGCCCAGACUCAUACGGGAGGCAGCAGUGGGGAAUAUUGCACAAUGGGCGGAAGCCUGAUGCAGCAACGCCGCGGGCGGGAUGACGGCCUUCGGGUUGUAAACCGCUUUCGCCUGUGAAGAAGCGGGAGUGACGGUAAUGGGUAAAGAAGCACCGGCUAACUACGUG
rnacentral:rRNA from 1 species